rnacentral:rRNA from 1 species
AACGUAGGGGGCAAGCGUUGCCCGGAUUUACUGGGCGUAAAGCGGGUGUAGGCGGUCCUCUAAGUCAGAUGUGAAAUCCUACGGCUCAACCGUGGAACUGCAUCUGAUACUGGAGGACUUGAGGACGGUAGAGGUCGGUGGAAUCCCCGGUGUACCGGUGAAAUGGGCAGAUAUCGGGGGGAACACCAGUGGCGAAGGCGGCCGACUGGGCCGAUCCUGACGCUGAGACCCGAAAGCUAGGGUAGCGAACAGG